CCUACGGGGGGCUGCAGUGGGGAAUAUUGGACAAUGGGGGCAACCCUGAUCCAGCCAUGCCGCGUGUGUGAAGAAGGCCCUCGGGUUGUAAAGCACUUUCAGUGAGGAAGAACGCCUGGUGGUUAAUACCCAUCAGGAAAGACAUCACUCACAGAAGAAGCACCGGCUAACUCCGUGCCAGCAGCCGCGGUAAUACGGAGGGUGCGAGCGUUAAUCGGAAUUACUGGGCGUAAAGCGCGCGUAGGUGGCUUGAUAAGCCGGUUGUGAAAGCCCCGGGCUCAACCUGGGAACGGCAUCCGGAACUGUCAAGCUAGAGUGCAGGAGAGGAAGGUAGAAUUCCCGGUGUAGCGGUGAAAUGCGUAGAGAUCGGGAGGAAUACCAGUGGCGAAGGCGGCCUUCUGGACUGACACUGGCACUGAGGUGCGAAAGCGUGGGUAGCAAACAGGAUUAGAUACCCCGGUAGUC
rnacentral:rRNA from 1 species